UUCUCCUAGACAAACAUGUAUAGAAAUCCCAGCACUGGAGAGUUGAUGAGAAAGUGGGCAGAUCGGCUCUAUUCACAGCUGGGGGAAACUGACCACUUUAACAAAAGGAAGAAUGCUCAGGUAACAUCUAGCCCAAAGGUCGCUCAGGAAUGUUCAAAGCACUCAGGAGAGAGUGAAGUAUCCCAUCUUUGGGACACACAAGUCCCACUCAGCAUCCAUUGAAAGCGCAGCACCAAAAGCAUUGAGAUGGUGGCAGGACCUCAUUUUCCCUCUUCUCUAUUCCCUUACUCUUUCUCCAGCACAGAAGAAGCCUUGCUGAACACCUCCCGAGCAGAUGGCAUCAGAGAGAAGCUGGAUGUUUUUCCUCAAAUGGAUUAAGAAAGCAGAAGCUUCUGCCAGGGGUAACAAUGCCACUUGUGGGCACCACUGAUUUUUAAAGCACUCCACAUUCAUUAGCUCAUGGAGCCUUCGCAGCAUCCCUGGAAGGCAAGAUGUUGGAAGAGCCUCCAAGACAAUGUUGAAAAGUUGGCCCUGCAGCCAGCUUCAGCAGGGCAGUCCUGCAUAGCUGCCACUUCUACCGAGGACCACCCUCUCCAGGUUCCACGCAAGCUCAUGGUGGCUGCUCCAGCCCAGCAGACCCACUUCCUGGGAGUCAUCACCCACUUGCAUCUUACUGUGGCUCUUCUUCUGUGUCCCCCAGUCAUCUGCCUACACAGAGAGAGCACAGCCACUGAAGCCUGAGACUCACGAAAGACGCCUGUGCUUUGAGGGGCUGCAGGGGGCUGCUUCCCAGGCAAACUUCAUUGCAGAAUUCUGAUGUCCCUGUCUGCUUCCCACUCAGGGAGUUAAUGGGACUCCACAACAGGACUCCCAGAAGUUCUCCCUGCCUGCAUGUGAUGAAGAGUGCUGAGUGAUAGAUUUGAAAUUGGACCCCUGACAUCAUGAAUAGCAGAAGUUAAUAUCUAAUGCAGCCAAAAUGCUGCACAGCUUCCUGGAACCCUUAGCACCAAAGACCACCAUGCACUGAGGAGCCACCUGCAGCUCUCCACACCAUGAAGUGCAUAUGUACCCCUCCUCUCCGCAUCUCGCAUGACCCAGCCCAUGGUGCUAAACUGACUGAGCAAGAAGCAUCCAGAGCCUCUUCUGCUGGACGCAUGGAACACACUCUCAAGAGAUGCAGCCCAAAAUAGGACUCUAUGGUCAAUGAAAUGGAAUGGGAAAUGCUGCACCGUGUAUCCCCUUUCUAAGGAUCCAUGAUGUUUAUUGUUGUUGUUGUUGUUAGUGAAACCUUUUAAACAACCUUCAGGAAAAUCAUCCCUGUUUUUCGCAAACUUUCUAACCUUUCCCCAUGAAGAAUUUUUUUUUUUUUUC
rnacentral:lncRNA from 1 species